AUCGCUUCUUGGCCUUUUGGCUAAGAUCAAGUGUAGUGUCUGUGUGUGUGUGUAAAACACUUGGUGCUGUAUCCACUUCCCAUGAGACAAAUGUAUCCCUUGAUUUACUGAAACAUCCUCUAUGAAACACACUGAUGAGUUUAUCAUGAAAGUGCACUCUAUCCCCUUAAGAGUUAGACUUCUCAUG